AACGAACGCUGGCGGCAUGCCUAACACAUGCAAGUCGAACGAGACCUUCGGGUCUAGUGGCGCACGGGUGCGUAACGCGUGGGAACCUGCCCUUAGGUUCGGAAUAACUCCCCGAAAGGGGUGCUAAUACCGGAUAAUGUCUUCGGACCAAAGAUUUAUCGCCAUUGGAUGGGCCCGCGUUGGAUUAGCUAGUUGGUAGGGUAAAAGCCUACCAAGGCGACGAUCCAUAGCUGGUCUGGGAGGAUGAUCAGCCACACUGGGACUGAGACACGGCCCAGACUCGUACGGGAGGCAGGAGUGGAGAAUAUUAGACGAUGGGCGAAAGCCUGAUCACGCAAUGCCGGGUGAGUGAUGAAGGCCUUAGGGUUGUAAAGCUCUUUUACCCGGGAUGAUAAUGACAGUACCGGGAGAAUAAGCUCCGGCUAACUCCGUG
rnacentral:rRNA from 1 species